AGAGUUUGAUCCUGGCUCAGAUUGAACGCUGGCGGCAGGCUUAACACAUGCAAGUCGAGCGGGGAAAAGUAGCUUGCUACUUGACCUAGCGGCGGACGGGUGAGUAAUGCUUAGGAAUCUGCCUAUUAGUGGGGGACAACGUUUCGAAAGGAACGCUAAUACCGCAUACGCCCUACGGGGGAAAGCAGGGGAUCUUCGGACCUUGCGCUAAUAGAUGAGCCUAAGUCGGAUUAGCUAGUUGGCGGGGUAAAGGCCCACCAAGGCGACGAUCCGUAGCUGGUCUGAGAGGAUGAUCAGCCACACUGGAACUGAGACACGGUCCAGACUCCUACGGGAGGCAGCAGUGGGGAAUAUUGGACAAUGGGGGGAACCCUGAUCCAGCCAUGCCGCGUGUGUGAAGAAGGCCUUAUGGUUGUAAAGCACUUUAAGCGAGGAGGAGGCUCUCUUGGUUAAUACCCAAGAUGAGUAGACGUUACUCGCAGAAUAAGCACCGGCUAACUCUGUGCCAGCAGCCGCGGUAA
rnacentral:rRNA from 1 species